UUGAGCCUACGGGGCGCAGCAGUCGAGAAUCAUUCACAAUGGGGGAAACCCUGAUGGUGCGACGCCGCGUGGGGGAAUGAAGGUCUUCGGAUUGUAAACCCCUGUCAUGUGGGAGCAAAUUAAAAAGAUAGUACCACAAGAGGAAGAGACGGCUAACUCUGUGCCAGCAGACGCGGUAAUACAGAGGUCUCAAGCGUUGUUCGGAAUCACUGGGCGUAAAGCGGGCGUAGGCUGUUUCGUAAGUCGUGUGUGAAAGGCGCGGGCUCAAACCGAGGACGGCACAUGAUACUGCGAGACUAGAGUAA
rnacentral:rRNA from 1 species